AUGAACGCUGGCGGCGUGCCUAAUACAUGCAAGUCGAGCGAACAGAUGAGGAGCUUGCUCCUCUGACGUUAGCGGCGGACGGGUGAGUAACACGUGGAUAACCUACCUAUAAGACUGGGAUAACUUCGGGAAACCGGAGCUAAUACCGGAUAAUAUAUUGAACCGCAUGGUUCAAUAGUGAAAGACGGUUUUGCUGUCACUUAUAGAUGGAUCCGCGCCGCAUUAGCUAGUUGGUAAGGUAACGGCUUACCAAGGCAACGAUGCGUAGCCGACCUGAGAGGGUGAUCGGCCACACUGGAACUGAGACACGGUCCAGACUCCUACGGGAGGCAGCAGUAGGGAAUCUUCCGCAAUGGGCGAAAGCCUGACGGAGCAACGCCGCGUGAGUGAUGAAGGUCUUCGGAUCGUAAAACUCUGUUAUUUGGGAAGAACAAAUGUGUAAGUAACUAUGCACGUCUUGACGGUACCUAAUCAGAAAGCCACGGCUAACUACGUG
rnacentral:rRNA from 1 species